rnacentral:lncRNA from 1 species
GGGGAGUGUUCAGGCCAUUUCAGUCACCCUACAAGAUGCCAAGGAGAUCCCGGGAAAUCCAGCUCCUUAUACUGAUGCCAGUCAGUAAACCUGGGCAAGUGAGACAAGAGAGGAGAAAGAGUAUGUUCAUGACCUGACAGUCCGGGUGAAAGACAAAGUAGGAAGAGUCACAUGAACACAGAGGAGAGAAUUAUUUGCUCUGACAGGAAAAGUCUUUGCUACCCUCAUAAGU